rnacentral:rRNA from 1 species
UAGUGGCGAACGGGUGAGUAACACGUGGGCAAUCUGCCCUGCACUCUGGGACAAGCCCUGGAAACGGGGUCUAAUACCGGAUACGAGUUUCACAGGCAUCUGUGAUUCUGGAAAGCUCCGGCGGUGCAGGAUGAGCCCGCGGCCUAUCAGCUUGNUGGUGAGGUAACGGCUCACCAAGGCGACGACGGGUAGCCGGCCUGAGAGGGCGACCGGCCACACUGGGACUGAGACACGGCCCAGACUCCUACGGGAGGCAGCAGUGGGGAAUAUUGCACAAUGGGCGAAAGCCUGAUGCAGCGACGCCGCGUGAGGGAUGACGGCCUUCGGGUUGUAAACCUCUUUCAGCAGGGAAGAAGCGAGAGUGACGGUACCUGCAGAAGAAGCGCCGGCUAACUACGUGCCAGCAGCCGCGGUAAUACGUAGGGCGCAAGCGUUGUCCGGAAUUAUUGGGCGUAAAGAGCUCGUAGGCGGCUUGUCGCGUCGGUUGUGAAAGCCCGGGGCUUAACCCCGGGUCUGCAGUCGAUACGGGCAGGCUAGAGUUCGGUAGGGGAGAUCGGAAUUCCU